UCCCUGGAGGACUAGUGGCUAGAUCACAGUGCUCUCCCCACUGUGGCCUGGGUUCGAUUCCCAGCCAGGGAA